AACUCCGUGCCAGCAGCCGCGGUAAUACGGAGGGUGCAAGCGUUACUCGGAAUCACUGGGCGUAAAGGGCGCGUAGGCGGAUUAUCAAGUCUCUUGUGAAAUCUAAUGGCUUAACCAUUAAACUGCUUGGGAAACUGAUAGUCUAGAGUGAGGGAGAGGCAGAUGGAAUUGGUGGUGUAGGGGUAAAAUCCGUAGAUAUCACCAAGAAUACCCAUUGCGAAGGCGAUCUGCUGGAACUCAACUGACGCUAAGGCGCGAAAGCGUGGGGAGCAAACGGGAUUAGAUACCCUGGUAGUCCACGCCCUAAACGAUGUACACAAGUUGUUGGAAUGCUAGUCAUCUGAGUAAUGCGGCUAACGCAUUAGGUGUACCGCCUGGGGAGUACGGUCGCAAGAUUAAAACUCAGAGCAAUAGACGGGGACCCGCACAAGCGGUGAAGCAUGUCGUUUAGUUCGAAGAUACACGAAGAACCUUACCUCGCCUUGAUAUCCCAAGACCCUUACAGAGUAUAUGAGGGUCCAAGCUUGCUAUACCUUAGAGACAGGUGCUG
rnacentral:rRNA from 1 species